GCCCGGAUGGCGAAAUCGGUAGACGCAGGGGACUCAAAAUCCCCGCUGUAAGGCAUGUCGGUUCGACUCCGACUCCGGGCAUCA
rnacentral:tRNA from 1 species